UACGAAGGGGGCUAGCGUUGCUCGGAAUCACUGGGCGUAAAGCGCACGUAGGCGGAUAUUUAAGUCGGUGGUGAAAUCCUGGAGCUCAACUCCAGAACUGCCUUUGAUACUGGGUAUCUCGAGUCCGGAAGAGGUGAGUGGAAUUCCGAGUGUAGAGGUGAAAUUCGUAGAUAUUCGGAGGAACACCAGUGGCGAAGGCGGCUCACUGGUCCGGUACUGACGCUGAGGUGCGAAAGCGUGGGGAGCAAACAGG
rnacentral:rRNA from 1 species